UAAGGUACUCGGUAACUUCAGUGAAGUU
rnacentral:piRNA from 1 species